UUACGGAUCAGCUGAAAGAUGGUGUGACCUUGUUUUCUAACUACUUUAAAUGGCUCAUGUUUUAUGAGCUUGCCAAGGGUAUUCUCGACCGGUCCGUCAUAUGCUAUUUUAAGGUAGGUGGAUACAUCUGGGAUCUGGGUAUGAGAUUGAUGGGAGUGUGGUCCAUACAUAUCCCUCUGUAUCCUUUUCUAGAUACCAUCAAUGGUUCUUGGGUGGUACCUAUGUUUACAUCCUACGGCGAGAAUAUACUGGUACUCUUUUUCUAUAUCCAUCUACUUGGUGGUAUGGGUGAAGACCCUAGAAAUUAU
rnacentral:lncRNA from 1 species